CAGGCAGAUAAAACAACUAGCCUACCCAAGCUAUAAGGUAACAGGAAACAGUGGGCCUAGCACCAACUGUAGGGUGGAACUCCUAUCCUUAAAUGCAUUCAUUCGAAAGCAAAACCAAAUCAAGUUUGAGAAAGAAUGAACUUGUGGAGAACUUUUUCCUACAAGCGGAUGGAGGUUGACUUGAGAAAGGAAGUGCAGACAGUGGAUGCCUUUGUCGUCUUAACUGAAUGGAGGCGGAUGUCCUCCAGCUGACUGAUCCUGUCCGUGUGAAGGGAAAUCAGGCAUGACAACUCCAUGAUGAGGGUCACUUUUCUGUCACCUUCUUCCACAGCGGGGAGACCCCCAGAGACCUCUUCCAGAGAGCGGUCUUCUAGAGCAAACAAGAAAAGGAAAGUCUGAGCAGCUUCAGAUUGGGUUUCUUAGAACUCAAAGAGAGGCAAGAUGAAAUGCUUCAUCUGAGACAGCCCUAGCGUGGAGUCAUCUCAUUAGAUUCACUGAGCGUGGAACCUGGGCCAGGGAAGGGAAGAGAGUGGCUGGGUGCUCAUGAAGAAGGACUUGGAGGCCUCUCAGGAGAGGAGAGAAUCAGCCCUCGCCAACUCCGUUUUGUGUGCACGUAACUUCCAGUGAACCCUGGGAAUGAGCGAUCCUUGAAAAUCCAACCCACAAACAGCAGCCAUCCGUGUCACAUGAUCCUUGUCCCACGGGAUCUUUCACAGGAGCUACCAUCAAGCAAAAACACACUCAAUUCAAAUUUCAGUUUGGCUGGGAAAAAAAAAAAAAAAGAAAAGGCUGCCAAUUCCAUUUAUGGGUAAACUAAUAAUGAAAAAAGGUGCCUUAGAAGAGAACUUAGCUGCAGCCCUGGUGACGUGGGAAAGUGCUCUCAAGAGCAUGGGAUCUGGGAGCCCGCAAAACACCCCAUGAAACAAAACACUAAGGACAACCAGAGGCAGAAGACUGUGCAGGAUGCAACUGCUGCUUAAAGUUCAC